GGCACUUGGCUUUGCUGGUGGCAGGGCUUGCAGGGGGAAUCUGCUGCUAGCCUCUCCUGGCUCUUUUCUGGUUUUUGCUCAGGGGAUGGCUGUUCAUCCUGGGUGCAGUUUGGAGCUGCCCAAUAAUGGCAGCAUCACUCUGUUCCCAAGGCCGCCUUCCCGAUGGGCUGGCUUGAGGCGUGGGUGGCUUUGUGGUGCAGCACGUGUCCGUGCCCUGCCCGGUGCCCUGGCACUGCUGGGGCGGUGUCGAUGGCCCCUCGGGCUCUGGGCACUGCCAGGACUCCUGGUGGACAUCAGUUCCUGCAGCCAGCAGGGCUCACCCGCCUCUGGAUGGACGUGGCUUGGAUGCCAAGAGGAAAACGUGAGCUGGUUUCAAGUUCAGUUCCUGAAUGCAGUAAUCCACAGCAAGGCUUGGGGGCUCAGAGCCCCUCCUGGGCUGUCUGGGGUCUCUGGCUGCUUUGGUGGGUCCCAUGAGGAUGUUCAGGCGUCUCUUCCCUUGCCAGCAGCCCUGUCCCAGUGUAGAGCAGAGAGUGCUGAAAGCUCAGAGCUGUUCAGAGCUGGGCUGGCAGUGGAGCCAAGAAGAAGGCAGAGGAUGGAAUGCACAAUGGCUGACCCACACCUGGUGAGGCAGGAGCAGCAGAGGCUGCAGAGGCAGCUGGCAGCGGUGGCGGCGCGGCAGCAGCUGGCCCUGAGCCGGAACCGGGCGCUGCGCCGCCAGUUCCUGCGGCUGGAGGCUGACAUGGAAACCACGGGCUGGCGCAGCAUCCGCGAGAUGGAAUGGUACGGAAGGGAAAUCCGAAGGCUGUUAUCCCUCCGAGAGGGCAGCUCGUCAGCAGGAGGUGAUGAGGAGGAAGGGGCCAGCGAGCAGGUGCUGCAGGCUGGAGGACAGGCAGGAACUGGCACCAGUACAGCCGUGCCAGGAGAACUGGGCCAUGCAGCAGCAGAACUGGGCCGUCCAGCAGCAGAACUGGGCCGUCCAGCAGCAGAACUGGGCCAUGCAGCAGCAGAACUGGGCUGUCCAGGAACAGCUGCCUCAGCCACAGGAGGUUUGGGCUCGCAGCAGGAGCCCCUUCUGCGCUCCCCGUCCCCAGAGUUGCUCAGUCCCGACACCGGGAGCACUGCUGGAGAGAGUGAGGAGGAGCAUGGGGACCUGGCCACCAGUGAGGAAGGCUCUGAGCAGCUCACCUCAGCUUCCUCAGGUGCCAAAGCAGCCCCCCUGAGGCCGGGCCAGCGGCAGGGAAGCGUUCCAGGGGUAGAGCCCAGCCUGAGCAGCUGGUGGGCUCACAGGGAGGGGAGCAGAGCCGAGCUCCCACUCCCAGCCGCUGCUGAGCAGGAGACCAGGCCGAGCAUCCCCGGCACACGGCAGGAGCAGGGCAGGGAUGCCCGGGCUCCAGAGGGCUCCCUGCUGCCCCCAGCCAGCCCUCCCACGGCCCAGGAGGAGCCCUUGGACAGCUCAGCACCACACAGGUACCAUCUCCCUGUUUCCUGGCUCAGCUGGGCUGCUCGGUUCCCAAAGCUCUCACCGAGUUCUCCUCCAUCCUUGAGUACCUUGGACCCGUGCUGGGCCCUCAGGGCCUUGGGGCACCUGGCUGGGGGCACAGCUGGCAAGUGAAGGAUUUGUUGCUCAAGUGCAGAUGAUGUUCUCUAAGUGUACACAAAUCUUACUCCAGUCUCUCUGCGUGGUCAAACUUCCAGGGGUUGUUGAACUGUCUGAGGAUUUUGUUCGGAAACAGAGUAAGAGAGGACGAGGAGAGUGCGCUGCAGACACGGGGGCUGUCCUCUGCUGCCGUGUGUCAGCAGCAGGAUUCUGUGGCCAGCAGGGUAGAGCAGGCUGUAAAUCCAUCCCGGCAGGAUUUUCAGCCCCGCAACGCCCUCAUGAGACGGGGAAGUGCAUCCGUGUGCCGGCAGGGAGAUGGUCCCCGGAGGUCUCCGGGAGGGCUGCAGGGGGACAUGGCGCGAAGGGAACAGCGCUCCUGCCCCUGGAGAAGAAGCGCUCCUGCAGGAGCAGCCUCUGCUGCCACAGGAGUUCUCUCCUGCCAGGGGCUGGGCUGUGUGCAGUGUUCCAGCCUGCUGCUGCUGUCCAUUCCCGGCCUGGAGCGCGGCUUUGGCUGCUGACACCUGCCCAGAAACGGGGGGCCACCGCAGGCACCCCUCUAACUUUAUCCUCUGCCAUUUGCAUGGGGCUGUCGCUCGCUAUGGAAACAUCAUCUGAUUUACAUGUAAAUAGCUUUCCCCGCCGUGCUCCCUUUGUAUCCCACCUGUUAAUCACAGCAGAGCAGGGGAGAGCCCUCUCUGCAGUUUAACCUUGUGUUCCCUCCCGGCGAGGCCUCGCUGUGCAGCGCCUGACGAGCGGCUCUCGAGGCCCCUGGAAAUCACACACGAGGUUUGAGCGCCUGCAUUGUCCCCGGGGCACGGCCGGGCCCGGCACACGGCUCUCCUCCCGCUGUGCCAGGCUCAGUGCCUCCGCUUCUCAAGGCCACGCUGCGCAAAACGUGCAGCUUUUAAUUUAAUCGGCUGGACCUGAAAAGCAAAGGGCAGGAACGCAGGAGCGGCCCUUCCCUUGCCGUGCUCACAGCCAGCUGGGCUUCCCAAGGCACCUGGAAUGCAGCGUG
ensembl:lncRNA